rnacentral:rRNA from 1 species
AACGAACGCUGGCGGCAUGCCUAACACAUGCAAGUCGAACGAGACCUUCGGGUCUAGUGGCGCACGGGUGCGUAACGCGUGGGAACCUGCCCUUAGGUUCGGAAUAACUCCCCGAAAGGGGUGCUAAUACCGGAUAAUGUCUUCGGACCAAAGAUUUAUCGCCUUUGGAUGGGCCCGCGUUGGAUUAGCUCGUUGGUAGGGUAAAAGCCUACCAAGGCGACGAUCCAUAGCUGGUCUGAGAGGAUGAUCAGCCACACUGGGACUGAGACACGGCCCAGACUCCUACGGGAGGGAGCAGUGGGGAAUAUUGGACAAUGGGCGAAAGACUGAUCAAGCAAUGACGCGUGAGUGAUGAAGGCCUUAGGGUUGUAAAGCUCUAUUACACGGGAUGAUAAUGACAGUAACGGGAGAAUAAGCUACGGCUAACUCCGUG